AUGCUGAUGUUGAUGACACAAUACAUUUGCCAAAAUUCUACAAAUUUUAUACUUCACAAAGAUAAAUUUCAUUGAAUGUAAAUUAUACUUCAAUAAAUGUAUGAAUAUAAGAAUAUAAUCCAGUAUCUUACCACUGCUUCUCACCCUUUCCAUUGCACUCCCUUGGUUCAGGUCACCACCCACUCUCUUUAGCCUCCUAACUGGUCUCCCUUCUUAAGCAUCUUUAGUCAGUUUUCAAUUUAGUACCCAGAAAGAGCAUAUUAAAGUGUAAAUCAAGCCAUUGCAUUUCUCUGUUCAAAACCAGCCAGAUUUUCCCAUCUCACACAGUUUAUAUAAGUCCCUAGAAGAUCUUUCUUUCCCAUCGCUAGGACUUCUUGACCCUUCCCUGUACCCCUCAUUCUCUCUCUUUAGCUACACUGCCCUAUUUACUUUUUAUAGAACCAGACUGUGUUAGCCUGUUUUGUAUUGCUGUAAUAAAAUACCCAAGACUUGUUUGGUUAUAAAGAAAAGGAGUUUAUUUUGGUUCACAGCUCUUCAGGCUAGAAGGUGAAUAAAGCAUGGAGCCAUCUUAUGAGGACCUCAUCUUGCAUCACAGCAUGGUGGGGAGGAAGCAGCUUUGUGCAAAGAGGAAUAUGUGUGCAAGACAGAGAAGCAUGAGGAGAGACCUGUCUUUGUAACAACCUACUCUCAUGAGACACCAACCACGGCCUCACUCUGUGCUCUUGGGUGUCAGGAGGUACACCAAAAUAGUAUCAGACCUGCACAGAACUGAAGAGAUGCUAAUCUUGCUCCUGUAUCUCCUUACUCUUUGGCUGGGAAAACACCCAGCAUAAUGUUACCUUUUGGACUUUAAAUGGACAGUAUUUAAAAGGAUUAUCCCCAUGCCUGUGUCAAUUGGACUGGGUGAGUUAAAAAAAACAUAUACAUAAAGACAAUGUUUAUAUUUAAAUGUCAGACAUUGUGUGGGUAGAUUUAGUGUUCUUUCCUAUCCAUGAAUAACAUUA
rnacentral:lncRNA from 1 species